GAUGAACGCUGGCGGCAUGCUUAACACAUGCAAGUCAUUCGCGAAGCUCCGCUUUCGCAUUCUGGCCAAGGCGGACGGGGUGGUAAAGCGUAAGGAAAUUGCCCUGCAGACAGGGCUAAACGUCGGAAAAGACUGGUAACACCUGGUAUAAUCAGCCUGGCGCAUGCCGGCCUGAUGAAAGGAGACGCUACAGUAGAGCCGUGGGUCCUAUUAGCUAGUGGGUGGGGUAACGGGCCAACGAGGCGAUGGAAGGCAGCCGGCCGGAGAGGGUGAACGGCCACAAGGGGACGGAGAUACGGCCGUUACGCCGACGGGAGGCAGCAGGGGGGAAGAGUGGACAAUGGGGGCAACCCUGAGCGAGCAAUUCUGUGUGCACGAAGAAGGUUUUCGGAUUGUAAAGUGCUUUCAGCAGGGAAGAAGAAAGUGACGGUACCUGCAGAAGAAGCGACGGCUAAAUACGUG
rnacentral:rRNA from 1 species